rnacentral:lncRNA from 1 species
ACAGGCUGGGAUAUAGGUCAUGGCUUCUGGAUGAAGCACAGGUGGAAGGCCCCUGAUUGUACCAUGCCAUGGAGACACCCCAACUCCCACCUCAGAAUACACAAACCAAAUUAAAAGCAAACCCAUCAUUUACCUAAGAAGGCAGAAGGUGAGACAGUCCCAUUGCUGCGUGACACCAUGACACUGAUGCCUGUCUCUAUGAAGGGCACAGAGAAGUCGACCACCUCCGAUCGUUCCUCAUUGAUGAUGGCUACAGAGGAGUUUGAUGACUUGCCCAAGCUCCCACGGUAAGUGACUUGAAGCUGAGCAGUCUGACUCCAGAGCUUGGACUCCUACCCACCACUCUGCACUGCUUCUCUGACAAUGAAGGAGUAAGACAUGUUCCUUUUCCUCCAAGGACAGUCUAGAGGGAAAAGACACUAUCCAUCGACAAUAAUAGGCUUUGGUAAUUACUCUAAUAUCCACUAUCCAUUGACAAGUUAGGCUUUGGUAAUUACUGUAAUAAAAGAUAUAAAUAAAGUACUCCGGCAUUCA